rnacentral:misc_RNA from 1 species
GAUGAAGAACGCAGCGAACUGCGAUAAGUAAUGUGAAUUGCAGAAUUCAGUGAAUCAUCGAGUCUUUGAACGCACAUUGCGCCCCCUGGCAUUCCGGGGGGCAUGCCUGUCCGAGCGUCAUUGCUGCCCUUCAAGCCCGGCUUGUGUGUUGGGUCGUCGUCCCCCCCGGGGGACGGGCCCGAAAGGCAGCGGCGGCACCGCGUCCGGCCCUCGAGCGUAUGGGGCUUUGUCACCCGCUCGAUUAGGGCCGGCCGGGCGCCAGCCGGCGUCUCCAACCUUCUAUUUUACCAGGUUGACCUCGGAUCAGGUAGGGAUACCCGCUGAACUUAAGCAUAUCAAUAAGCGGAGGA